ACCUCAUCCACAUCAAAAUCAUUAUGCUUAGGAAUUGCACUACCUCUAUUAACCCUUGGAACAACUAAACUUCAAUUUUAUAAAUACUGAAAAACUAUUCUUAUGUCUUCCUCAUUUUCAUGUGGUGUAGUUUUAAUCAUAAUACACCUGGGCAUAGUUUUAAGAAAGGGACAAAAAUAUACGGUAGAGAAAUACAUAUUUAGAUAAAGCCAUAUGUAAACAGACACAAAGAACUACCACUUGCCAUGUUUUGUUCAUCCCUGCCAUUCACCAACAGCACUCAUACUGUACAUAAUCAAGUGGCCUACAAAUAGCCUAC
rnacentral:lncRNA from 7 species